GACGAACGCUGGCGGCGUGCUUUACACAUGCAAGUCGAACGGUGAAGGUGGAGCUUGCUCCGCCGGAUCAGUGGCGAACGGGUGAGUAACACGUGGGCAACCUGCCCCUAACUUUGGGAUAACUACUCGAAAGAGUAGCUAAUACCGGAUACGAAGUCUGUAGGCAUCUACGGAUUUGGAAAGUUUUUCGGUUAGGGAUGGGCCCGCGGCCUAUCAGCUUGUUGGUGAGGUAGUGGCUCACCAAGGCGACGACGGGUAGCCGGCCUGAGAGGGCGAACGGCCACACUGGGACUGAGACACGGCCCAGACUCCUACGGGAGGCAGCAGUGGGGAAUAUUGCACAAUGGGCGCAAGCCUGAUGCAGCAACGCCGCGUGAGGGAUGACGGCCUUCGGGUUGUAAACCUCUUUUAGUAGGGAAGAAGCGAAAGUGACGGUACCUGCAGAAAAAGCACCGGCUAACUACGUGCCAGCAGCCGCAGUAA
rnacentral:rRNA from 1 species